rnacentral:lncRNA from 1 species
AUGUUACACAUUAUGAAUGACCAAUCCACUAAGCAAAAAUGCACUCAUGAAAAUUAACAGUUCAAACCAAGCAAGUGUUUCACUCAAUCACUCAAGUGUUUAAGGUGACACUCCAACUCUCUAUUNUUCACAAGUCACAUGAAACAAAAUUGCCAUUCAUCUCAAACAAUCAACAUCUUUACAUGCAAAUGCCAUCAAAAGGACUUUUGGAAGGCUUAUGAUGAGGUUGGGUUAACAAGAAGAAUUGGUUUUUCUAGAAUGCGAAAUCCUUGAGUCAAGAGAGCUAUCAAAAUAUUCAACAUUUAAGCACAACUCUCUUCCUCACCAAUCUCUCUUAUUCCCAACUUUUUCCCCUUUUCUUUUUCAUUAAGCUCAUCUUCAUGCUUUUCUUCUUUUCUUUUCUUUUUCUCAUGAACUUUUCUUUUCACAACAUUUGAGCUCAAUGCUUUUUCACUUGCCUUUCAAUUUCCCCCAUGCAACUCCAAACUUGAACCUUUUCAUCGCAUACAAUUAAGCUCAUCCC